rnacentral:lncRNA from 1 species
CCAUUGCGAAUGUAUAUCACUAAUAUUGUAACAUAACAAAGAUUCUAAAAAUUUGGAAACAAAAUCUUUAAAAAAAAUGAUAGCACCCAAUAUUAUCUCUUAGCAGAAUAAAGGUCUCCCCUCAUGAAAUCAUCACCAGGGAGUCUUCAGGUGGCAUGUCAUAGUCUUGAAACUUUGAAUUCACUGCAACAACAGAGCAACCAAAGAUAGCAAUAUGGAAGAACACACCAACACUCCGGAAACCAGCAAAGUAAACCCUGCUCCGGCGUCCAUUGCUGGAGAAGGAGCGAUAUCUUGUGCUAUGUUUCCGGAUACGUAAAACAGUGCCACAAUUAGAGAUGGCAAAUGAGUCGGGCCGGGUCGGGUCAGUUUUUGCUCGUCCCAAAUUCGAUCGAAUUUUAAACAUCUGAUAAUUUUUUUAUUAUUUUUAUACACGAAUUCAAUCCGAUCCGACAUUGUAUAAAAUCAUAUCUUAUCCGAAAUUAAUAAAAUAUUAUUUUU